UUAUGGCUCAGGAUGAACGCUAGCGGCAGGCUAACACAUGCAAGUCGAGGGGCAGCGCGGGGUAGCAAUACUCGUGGCGGCGACCGGCGGAAGGGUGCGUAACGCGUGAGCAACUUGCCCGCAUCAGGGGGAUAAGCGUUGGAAACGGCGUCUAAUACCCCCGUAACAACAGAGGGCGCAUGCUUUUUGUUUGAAAGCUACGGCGGAUGCGGAUGGGCUCGCGUGACAUUAGCUAGUCGGCGGGGUAACGGCCCACCGAGGCGACGAUGUCUAGGGGUUCUGAGAGGAAGGUCCCCCACACUGGAACUGAGACACGGUCCAGACUCCUACGGGAGGCAGCAGUGAGGAAUAUUGGUCAAUGGCCGGAAGGCUGAACCAGCCAUGCCGCGUGCAGGAAAUGAGGCCCUAUGGGUCGUAAACUGCUUUUGUGGCGGAGCAAUAAGGGUUACGUGUAAUCCGAUGAGAGUACGUCACGAAUAAGCAUCGGCUAACUCCGUGCCAGCAGCCGC
rnacentral:rRNA from 1 species